rnacentral:rRNA from 1 species
UGGGGAAUAUUGCACAAUGGGCGAAAGCCUGAUGCAGCAACGCCGCGUGAGUGAUGAAGGUCUUCGGAUUGUAAAGCUCUGUCUUUUGGGACGAUAAUGACGGUACCAAAGGAGGAAGCCACGGCUAACUACGUGCCAGCAGCCGCGGUAAUACGUAGGUGGCGAGCGUUGUCCGGAUUUACUGGGCGUAAAGGGUGCGUAGGCGGAUGUUUAAGUGAGUGUGAAAUACCCGGGCUUAACUUGGGUGCUGCAUUUCAAACUGGAUAUCUAGAGUGCAGGAGAGGAGAAUGGAAUUCCUAGUGUAGCGGUGAAAUGCGUAGAGAUUAGGAAGAACACCAGUGGCGAAGGCGAUUCUCUGGACUGUAACUGACGCUGAGGCACGAAAGCGUGGGUAGCAAACAGGAUUAGAUACCCUGGUAGUCCACGCCGUAAAACGAUGAGUACUAGGUGUAGGAGGUAUCGACCCCUUCUGUGCCGCAGUAAACACAUUAAGUACUCCGCCUGGGAAGUACGAUCGCAAGAUUAAAACUCUAAAGUGAAUUGACGGGGUC